rnacentral:rRNA from 1 species
GACGAACGCUGGCGGCGUGCUUAACACAUGCAAGUCGAACGGAAAGGCCCUGCUUUUGUGGGGUGCUCGAGUGGCGAACGGGUGAGUAACACGUGAGUAACCUGCACUUGACUUUGGGAUAACUUCAGGAAAAUGGGGCUAAUACAGGAUAGGAGCUACUGCUGCAUGGUGGGGGUUGGAAAGAGUCGGCGGUUGGGGAUGGACUCGCGGCUUAUCAGCUGGUUGGUGGGGUAGUGGCUUACCAAGGCUUUGACGGGUAGCCGGCCUGGGAGGGUGACCGGCCACAUUGGGACUGAGAUACGGCCCAGACGCCUACGGGAGGCAGCAGUGGGGAAUAUUGCACAAUGGGCGGAAGCCUGAUGCAGCAACGCCGCGUGCGGGAUGACGGCCUUCGGGUUGUAAACCGCUUUCUCCUGUGACGAAGCGUGAGUGACGGUAAUGGGUAAAGAAGCACCGGCUAACUACGUG